UAAUUCAUAUGACAGAUUUACGCUGGCAUUGUAUUGUACUUGAACAAUAUGAAAGCAUUAUUUAAACUGUAGAUUUUAAUGUUUUUACACUGUAACUGUACUACAGUUUUUUAACACAGUAAGUGUACUACAAGUUGUUGGACAUGUUUUUUUGUCUCGGUGUCAUGUCAGACCAACUCCAGCGCACGACCCCAAACGGACCCCCAUUUUGUUUGGAUUUUAUCCAUUUGUGAUAGAAAAACGGAUAGCGGAUGUCAGAAAGAGUACGGACAAAGUCGUUCCACCCAACGCUGCUACCCCAUUUUUUACCCAUUUCACGAGAUGUCCGCCUUGUACGUGCUCUCUGCGAGCCCGCGAUAGCAGCCAGGCACGCCACACCUGCACCCACGGAGCUUGCCUCGCC
rnacentral:lncRNA from 1 species